GUUAAUUGCUGGCCUGUAUGAAUGGCUAAACGAGGGCUCCACUGUCUCAAUAAUAAACCUAGUGAAAUUGAGAUGGCGGCGAAGACGCCGCCUAUGAAUUCUAAGACGAGAAGACCCCAUUGAGCUUUACUAUUAACUUGUAUUGUCAGAGCAAAGGGGAGGGGGACCCUACGGGUCUAGGGAAUACCCCGGAUCCGUUUUGCCCCCUGUCCCUAGCUUCAUAAUAAAAUUGUGGAGACUAUGUGGCAAAAGAAAAACAAGGGAUUUAAAAGAACGGGGGGGGGGAGGACCCUUAGGGGUCCCCCCCCCGGGACCCGAAGGGUCCGCCACGCCCCGUCCCGAUUUAUAUGAAAAACCACUCUUUUUAUUAAGAUUACUGUCUAACACCGUACAAGUAAGAUAGUUUGGUUGGGGCGACCGCCUUCGAAAAAGUAUCGAAGGCGCACAUAAGAUUAAUCAGGAGAAGGAUCCGAAGGAUCUUUUUAUCGGGAGUAAUGUCCCAAAAAAGGAGAUUAAUUUGACUGAGAGGGCAACAACCCGAACAGACGUCAAAGGAUAGACCGGGGGGGGAAUCCUACAGAUUCCUUCCCCCCCUUCUUUUGGCGGGUCAUAGUGAUCCGUUGUUAUAUUGUGGGAUAGACAACGAUCAA
rnacentral:rRNA from 1 species